rnacentral:rRNA from 1 species
UACGUAGGGGGCAAGCGUUGUCCGGAAUCAUUGGGCGUAAAGCGCGUGUAGGCGGUUCGGUAAGUCUGCUGUGAAAGUCCAGGGCUCAACCCUGGGAUGCCGGUGGAUACUGUCGGACUAGAGUACGGAAGAGGCGAGUGGAAUUCCCGGUGUAGCGGUGAAAUGCGCAGAUAUCGGGAGGAACACCAAUUGCGAAGGCAGCUCGCUGGGACGUCACUGACGCUGAGACGCGAAAGCGUGGGGAGCGAACAGG